UUCCUGGAGGACUAGUGAUUAGGCCACUGUGUUCUCACCGCUGCGGCCCGGGUUCGAUUCCCGGCCUGGGAA